rnacentral:rRNA from 1 species
GGACUACUGGGGUUUCUAAUCCUGUUUGAUCCCCGCACUUUCGAGCCUCAGUGUCAGUUACAGUUUUGUGAGCUGCCUUCGCAAUCGGUGUUCUAUGACAUAUCUAAGUAUUUCACCACUACAUGUCAUAUUCCGCCCACAUCAUCUGUACUCAAGACCUGCAGUAUCAAUGGCAGUUUCUCAGUUAAGCUGAGAGAUUUCACCACUGACUUACAAGUCCACCUACGCUCCCUUUAAACCCAAUGAAUCCGGAUAACGCUUGCAUCCUUCGUCUUACCGCGGCUGCUGGCAC